rnacentral:lncRNA from 1 species
CAGCAAUGAGAGAGGGAGGGGGGAUGGGAUUGGCGAGGUGGUCGGGGAUGAAGGGGUGUUCAAUGACGGGCAAAGAGACACUUGAGGGAGUGGAAGAGGGAAAGGGAGUAGAGAUGGGAUCCGUGAUGUGGGGAAAGAUAGCUAGUGAGGCUCAGAGAGCUGGCAUGGUGGGGGUGAAGGUGACGCGGCUAAGGGCGAGAUUGAUUAAAAGAAGAGUUAGGAAGAGAAGGGUGAGAAUUUAUUUUUAGAAGGAGAUUGAUUAGAAGAUUGAUUAGAAGAAGAGUUAGGAAGAGAAGGGUGNN